GCGGAUGUGGCGGAAUAGGCAGACGCGCAGGCUUCAGGUGCCUGUGGGGGCAACCCCGUGGAGGUUCGACUCCUCUCAUCCGCA
rnacentral:tRNA from 1 species